rnacentral:rRNA from 1 species
UUCGGGGCGAGUAAAGCGGCGAAAGGGUGAGUAACACGUAACCAACCUACCCCUCAGACUGGAAUAACCAUCGGAAACGAUGGGUAAUGCCAGAUGGUCCUCGGUGUGGCAUCACGCUGAAGGUAAACGGUCUGCUGCUGAGGGAGGGGGUUGCGGGCUAUCAGCUUGUUGGUGAGGUAACGGCUCACCAAGGCUAUGACGGCUAGCGGGUCUGAGAGGACGAUCCGUCACACUGGGACUGAGACACUGCCCAGACUCCUACGGGAGGCUGCAGUCGAGAAUCUUCCGCAAUGGGCGAAAGCCUGACGGAGCGACACCGCGUGCAGGAUGAAGGCCUUCGGGUUGUAAACUGCUGUCACGCUAUAGGAAAAGCGCUCAGCGCCUUGACCAAAGCGAGAGGAAGCACCGGCUAACUCCGUGCCAGCAGCCGCGGUAAGACGGAGGGUGCAAACGUUGUUCGGAAUUACUGGGCAUAAAGAGCACGUAGGCGGCUCGUCAAGUCACGCGUGAAAUCCCUCGGCUCAACCGGGGAACUGCGUAUGAUACUGGCGGGCUAGAGGACGGUAGGGGUGAGCGGAACUCCAGGUGGAGCGGUGAAAUGCGUAGAUAUCUGGAGGAACACCGGUGGCGAAAGCGGCUCACUGGACCGUAACUGACGCUGAGGUGCGAAAGCUAGGGUAGCAAACGGGAUUAGAUACCCUGGUA